CGAAGGGUGCGAGCGUUGUUCGGAAUUACUGGGCGUAAAGGGUUUGUAGGCUGAAAUGUAAGUCAAGUGUGAAAUCCCCGAGCUAAACUUGGGACGUGCAUUUGAAACUGUGUUUCUUGAGUAUCGUAGAGGGUGGUGGAAUUGUAGGUGUAGGAGUGACAUCCGUAGAGAUCUGCAGGAACAUCAGAGGCGAAGGCGACCACCUGGCCGAUUACUGACGCUGAGGAACGAAAGCGUGGGGAGCAAACAGGAUUAGAUACCCUGGUAGUCCACGCCGUAAACGAUGAUAACUAGGUGUUGGAGGAAUUGACCCUUUCAGUACCGUAGCACACGCGCUAAGUUAUCCGCCUGGGGAGUACGGCCGCAAGGCUA
rnacentral:rRNA from 1 species